rnacentral:rRNA from 1 species
GGGAGCAUGUGCACACUUGUCAUCUUUGUAUCUCCACCUGUGCACCUUUUGUAGACCUUGGGUAUCUCUCUGAUUGCUUUAGCAACUCAGGAUUGAGGAUUGACUUUCUGUCUCUUCUUACAUUUCCAGGCCUAUGUUUUUCAAAUACCCUAAUGUAUGUUUAUAGAAUGUAAUCAAAUAGGCCUUCGUGCCAAUAAAUUGAUACAACUUUCAGCAACGGAUCUCUUGGCUCUCGCAUCGAUGAAGAACGCAGCGAAAUGCGAUAAGUAAUGUGAAUUGCAGAAUUCAGUGAAUCAUCGAAUCUUUGAACGCACCUUGCGCUCCUUGGUAUUCCGAGGAGCAUGCCUGUUUGAGUGUCAUUAAUAUAUCAACCUUUUUUUUUUGGUUGGAUGUGGGUUUGCUGGCCACUUUGGAGGUCAGCUCUCCUUAAAUGCAUUAGCGGACAAUAUUUUGCCAAACGUUUCAUUGGUGUGAUAAUUAUCUACACUAUUGACGUGAAGCAAGGUUCAGCUUCUAACAGUCCAUUGACUUGGACAAUUUUUUAUUUAUUAAUGUGACCUCAAAUCAGGUAGGACUACCCGCUGAACUUAAGCAUAUCAAUAAGCGGAGRAAAARAAACUAACAAGGAUUCCCCUAGUAACUGCGAGUGAAGCGGGAAAAGCUCAAAUUUAAAAUCUGGCAGUCUUUGGCUGUCCGAGUUGUAAUCUAGAGAAGCAUUAUCCGCGCUGGACCGUGUACAAGUCUCCUGGAAUGGAGCGUCAUAGAGGGUGAGAAUCCCGUCUUGAAACACGGACC